GAUGAACGCUGGCGGAGUGCCUAACACAUGCAAGUCGAGCGGCAGCGCGAGUAGUUUACUACUUGGCGGCGAGCGGCGGACGGCUGAGUAACGCGUGGGAACAUGCCCCAAAGUGAGGAAUAACUGCCCGAAAGGGUAGCUAAUGCCGCAUACGAUCUUCGGAUUAAAGGAUUUAUCCGCUUUGGGAGUGGCCUGCGUACGAUUAGAUAGUUGGUGAGGUAAUGGCUCACCAAGUCUACGAUCGUUAACUGGUUUGAGAGGAUGAUCAGUCAGACUGGAACUGAGACACGGUCCAGACUCCUACGGGAGCAGCAGUGAGGAAUCUUCCACAAUGGACGAAAGUCUGAUGGAGCAACUCCGCGUGCAGGAUGAAGGCCUUCGGGUCGUAAACUGCUUUUAUGAGUGAAGAAUAUGACGGUAACUCGA
rnacentral:rRNA from 1 species